rfam:Pedobacter glucosidilyticus strain DD6b PBAC_contig000030, whole genome shotgun sequence.
CUUCAAGUGGAAUGAUUUGAGACGCUUAUAAAGCCAGGAUUGCAACCACAUUAAAAAGUGCUAAAGCCAAAAUU